rnacentral:rRNA from 1 species
CUAUGCGCCUUGCCAGCCCGCUCAGGUGUGCCAGCCGCCGCGGUAAUACGUAGGGAGCAAGCGUUGUCCGGAAUUACUGGGCGUAAAAGGGCGCGUAGGUGGGCGCUUAAGUCAGGUGUGAAAACUCCGGGCUCAACCUGGAGACUGCACUUGAAACUGGGUGUCUUGAGGGCAGGAGAGGAAAGUGGAAUUCCUAGUGUAGCGGUGAAAUGCGUAGAUAUUAGGAGGAACACCAGUGGCGAAGGCGGCCUGCUGGGCUUUUACUGACGCUGAGGCUCGAAAGUGUGGGGAGCAAACAGG